AGCAGCCGCGGUAAUUCCAGCUCCAAUAGCGUAUAUUAAAGUUGUUGCAGUUAAAAAGCUCGUAGUUGAAUUUCGGGAUUAGUACGCUGGUCGUGCCUUCGGUAUGUACUGGUGUUACUGGUUCCUACCUUCUGACGAACCGUCAUGUCAUUAAUUUGGUGUGGCGGGGAAUCAGGACUGUUACUUUGAAAAAAUUAGAGUGUUUAAAGCAGGCUCGCGCUUGAAUACAUUAGCAUGGAAUAAUGAAAUAGGACGUUCGAUCCUAUUUUGUUGGUUUCUAGGAUUGACGUAAUGAUUAAUAGGGAUAGUUGGGGGCAUUAGUAUUCAAUUGUCAGAGGUGAAAUUCUUGGAUUUAUUGAAGACUAACUACUGCGAAAGCAUUUGCCAAGGAUGUUUUCAUUAAUCAAGAACGAAAGUUAGGGGAUCGAAGACGAUCAGAUACCGUCGUAGUCUUAACCAUAAACUACGCCGACUAGGGAUCGGAUGAUGUUAUUUUUAAUGACUCAUUCGGCGCCUUACG
rnacentral:rRNA from 1 species